UAGGGAAUCUUCCGCAAUGGGCGAAAGCCUGACGGAGCAACGCCGCGUGAGUGAUGAAGGUCUUCGGAUCGUAAAACUCUGUUAUUAGGGAAGAACAAAUGUGUAAGUAACUAUGCACGUCUUGACGGUACCUAAUCAGAAAGCCACGGCUAACUACGUGACAGCAGCCGCGGUAAUACGUAGGUGGCAAGCGUUAUCCGGAAUUAUUGGGCGUAAAGCGCGCGUAGGCGGUUUUUUAAGUCUGAUGUGAAAGCCCACGGCUCAACCGUGUAGUGUCAUUGGACACUGGAAAACUUGAGUGCAGAAGAGGAAACUGGAAUUCCAUGUGUAGCGGUGAAAUGCGCAGAGAUAUGGAGGAACACCAGUGGCGAAGGCGACUUUCUGGUCUGUAACUGACUCUGAUGUGCGAAAGCGUGGGGAUCAAACAGG
rnacentral:rRNA from 1 species